rnacentral:rRNA from 1 species
CCUGGCUGAUCUUGCUAGUAGUCAUAUGCUUGUCUCAAAGAUUAAGUCAUGCAUGUGUAAGUAUGGACAAAUUCAUAUUGUAUAACUGCGAAUGGCUCAUUAAAUUAGUUAUAGUUUGUUUGAUGGUAUCUACUACUCAGAUAACCAUAGCAAUUCUAGAGCUAAUACAUGUAACAAACCCAGACUUCUGGAAGGGAUGUAUUUAUUAGAUAAAAGGUCGAUUCGGGCUCUGCCCAUUGCUGCGAUGAUAAAUGAUAACUCGACGGAUCGCACGGCCAUCGUGCCGGCGACGCAUCCUUCAAAUUUUUGCCCUAUCAACUUUCAAUGUUAGGAUGGUGGCCUACCAUGGUGGUGAUGGGUGACGGAGAAUUAGGAUUCGAUUCCGGAUAGGGAGCCUGAAAAAUGGCUACCACAUCCAAGGAAGGCAGCAGCCGCGCAAAUUACCCAAUCCUGACACGGGGAGGUAGUGACAAUAAAUAACAAUACCGAGCUCUAUGAGUCUGGUAAUUGGAAUGAGUGCAAUCUAUAUCCCUUAACGAGGAUCCAUUGGAGGGUAAGUCUAGUGCCAGCAGUCGCGGUAAUUCCAGCUCCAAAAGCGUAUAUUUAAGUUGUUGCAAUUAUAAAGCUAGUAGUUAGACUUUGGGAUGGGCCGGCCGGUCCGCCUUAGGUAUGCACCGGUCGUCUUGUCCCUUCUGCCAGCGAUGCGUUCCUGGCCUUAAUUGGAUGGGUCGUGCCUCCGGCGCUAUUACUUUGAGGAAAUUAGAGUGCUCAAAGCUAUCCUGCACUCUGUAUACAUUAGCAUGGGGUAACAUUAUAGGAUUUCGGUCCUAUUACGUGGGCCUUCGGGAUCAGAGUAAUGAUUAAUAGGGAUAGUCGGGGGCAUUCGUAUUUUAUAGUCAGAGGUGAAAUUCUUGUAUUUAUGAAAGACGAACAACUGCGAAAGCAUUUUCCAAGGAUUUUUUCAUUAAUCAAGAAUGAAAGUUGGGGUUCGAAGACGAUUAGAUAUCAUCCUAGUCUCAACCAUAAAUGAUGCCGACUAGGGAUCGGCGGAUGUUGCUUUUAGGACUCCGUCGGCACCUUAUGAGAAAUCAAAGUUUUUGGGUUCAGGGGGAUUAUGGUCUCAAGGCGGAAACUUAAAAUAAUUUAUGGAAGGACACCACCAGGAGUGGAGCCUGCGGCUUAAUUUGACUCAACACGGGGAAAUUUACCAAGUUCAGACAUAGUAAGGAUUGACAGAUUGAGAGCUCUUUCUUGAUUCUAUGGGUGGUGGUUCAUGGCCAUUAUUAGUUGGUGGAGCAAUUUGUCUGGUUAAUUCCGUUAAUGAACGAAACCUCAACUUGCUAACUAGCUAUGCGGAGGUAUCCCUUUGCGGCCAGCUUCUUAGAGGGAUUAUAGCCUUUUAGGCUGUGGACUUUUGAGGCAAUAAAAGGUCUGUGAUGCCCUAAGAUGUUCUGGGCCGUACGCCUGCUGCACUGAUGUAUUUAACGAGUUUAUAGCCUUGAUCGACAGGCCCGGGUAAUCUUUGAAAUUCAUCUUGAUGGGGACAGAUCAUUGCAAUUGUUGGUCUUCAACGAGGAAUUCCUAGUAAGCGCGAGUCAUCAAAUCGCGUUGACUAUGUCCCUGCCCUUUGUACACACCGCCCAUUGCUCCUACUGAUUGAAUGAUUUGGUGAAAUAUUUGGAUCGCGGCUGGGAGGUUUGCUGCCCGUGACGUCGCGAGAAGUCCAUUGAACCUUAUCAUUUAGAGGAAGGAGAAGUCGUAAUAAGGUUUCAGUAGGCGAACUUGCAGAAG